UUUGUCUUAUCUUUUACUUAAAAACAAGUUAUACUAAAUGACAUUUAAUAAUAUUUGCAUGUAUAUUAAUUCGCAGCAAACGCACAACUAAAGAAGUCGUGAUUGAGAGACUGUGAGAGGUAUUCCAUUCCCUUAAUCGUUACCAAUACCAAUCUGGAAAAGAAUCACGGUUCAAUAUUCUGUAACUCAUUAAAGAAAGAGAACAAAUCUUGUUGUUGCUGAUAAACCCACGAGUUACAUAUUUUCUUCCAAGAUGCAUAGAAGAUAGUGACUGAUACGUUGUGUUUAUUUUGUUUACAAUCAGCCUCGGCGACUGAGGACAUGAUGGACAUCUCACAGUCAUCAAAGUCAUCAGAUCCUUCUGUUUUUGGAACAGACCCUACUAGUUCGUUAAGUGGGAACAGAACUCCUCUCAAGAGGAAACGACUAAAAAACUAAACCCAAUCAUCUUACAGACAAAAGGGGCCCUUGUCGAAACAACAAAUAGUUGGUACCUGUAGAUAUGAACGGGUUAGAAGAAGUUUUGGGCAAAAAUACAUUUGUUUGAAUAUAAUUUCUUUGUUUGUGUUUUUACACUUUUUCAUCGAUGAAUUCCGAUGGGGACUGUUGUCGACAUAGCUGAGAGCAGGCAAAGGUAGGUGUGAACGACUUCUUUUAUGUGUGUAACGAUAGGUGUUAAAGUGUGUCUUUUUGUACUUCGUACUGAUAGCCAGCUUUUAUUGAGUAAUUUGUGCCACGACUUGUUGAGAUGAUAAUUUACAUUUGCGACACUGAUUUAUACUUGAGAACAUGAAAAUAAGCAACUGCAUUUUGUGUGUAUGAAUAUUGAACAUUCAACAGUGGUGUUUUAUACAUUUUGUUUGCAAUCGUCUGAAGGACGCAUCGACGCAUCAGAUAUUGACGGGACGGUAGACCACUCUAGACGACGGCAAA